AACGAACGCUGGCGGCAGGCCUAACACAUGCAAGUCGAGCGGGACCUUCGGGUCUAGCGGCGGACGGGUUAGUAACGCGUGGGAACGUGCCCAAAGGUACGGAAUAGCCUCGGGAAACUGAGAGUAAUACCGUAUGUGCCCCUCGGGGGAAAGAUUUAUCGCCUUUGGAUCGGCCCGCGUUGGAUUAGGUAGUUGGUGGGGUAAUGGCCUACCAAGCCGACGAUCCAUAGCUGGUUUGAGAGGAUGAUCAGCAACACUGGGACUGAGACACGGCCCAGACUCCUACGGGAGGCAGCCAGUGGGGAAUCUUAGACAAUGGGGGAAACCCUGAUCUAGCCAUGCCGCGUGAGCGAUGAAGGCCUUAGGGUUGUAAAGCUCUUUCAGAUGGGAAGAUAAUGACGGUACCAUCAGAAGAAGCCCCGGCUAACUCCGUGCCAGCAGCCGCGGUAAGGCACGACUGU
rnacentral:rRNA from 1 species